AUUGAACGCUGGCGGCAGGCCUAACACAUGCAUGUCGAGCGGGGUUUUCGGACCUAGCGGCGGACGGGUGAGUAAUGCGUAGGAAGCUACCCGAUAGAGGGGGAUACCAGUUGGAAACGACUGUUAAUACCGCAUAAUGUCUACGGACCAAAGUGUGGGACCUUCGGGCCACAUGCUAUCGGAUGCGCCUACGUGGGAUUAGCUAGUUGGUGAGGUAAUGGCUCACCAAGGCGACGAUCCCUAGCUGGUUUGAGAGGAUGAUCAGCCACACUGGAACUGAGACGCGGUCCAGACUCCUACGGGAGGCAGCAGUGGGGAAUAUUGGACAAUGGGCGCAAGCCUGAUCCAGCCAUGCCGCGUGUGUGAAGAAGGCCUUCGGGUUGUAAAGCACUUUCAGUAGGGAGGAAGCGUUGUGUGUUAAUAGUACACAGCGUUGACGUUACCUACAGAAGAAGCACCGGCUAACUCUGUGCCAGCCGCCGCAGUAAGAC
rnacentral:rRNA from 1 species